rnacentral:rRNA from 1 species
UUUAUUAGAUAAAAAACCCAAUGCCCUUCGGGGCUCUUUGGUGAUUCAUGAUAACUUAACGGAUCGCAUGGCCUUGCGCCGGCGACGGUUCAUUCAAAUUUCUGCCCUAUCAACUUUCGAUGGUAAGGUAUUGGCUUACCAUGGUUUCAACGGGUAACGGAUUUUUAGGGAAAGAUCCCGGAGAGGGAGCCUGAGAAACGGCUACCACAUCCAAGGAAGGCAGCAGGCGCGCAAAUUACCCAAUCCCGACACGGGGAGGUAGUGACAAUAAAUACUGAUACAGGGCUCUUUUGGGUCUUGUAAUCGGAAUGAGUACAAUUUAAAUACCUUAACGAGGAACAAUUGGAGGGCAAGUCUGGUGCCAGCAGCCGCGGUAAUUCCAGCUCCAAUAGCGUAUAUUAAAGUUGUUGCAGUUAAAAAGCUCGUAGUUGAACCUUGGGCCUGGCUGGCUGGUCCGCCUCACCGCGUGUACUGGUCCGGCCGGGCCUUUCCUUCUGGAGAACCGCAUGCCCUUUACUGGGUGUGUCGGGGAACCAGGACUUUUACUUUGAGAAAAUUAGAGUGUUCAAAGCAGGCCUUUGCUCGAAUACGUUAGCAUGGAAUAAUAGAAUAGGACGUGCGGUCCUAUUUUGUUGGUUUCUAGAACCGCCGUAAUGAUUAAUAGGGAUAGUCGGGGGCGUCAGUAUUCAAUUGUCAGAGGUGAAAUUCUUGGAUCUAUUGAAGACUAACUACUGCGAAAGCAUUCGCCAAGGAUGUUUUCAUUAAUCAGUGAACGAAAGUUAGGGGAUCGAAGACGAUCAGAUACCGUCGUAGUCUUAACCGUAAACUAUGCCGACUAGGGAUCGGGCGAUGUUUCUAUAUUGA